AAGUACAAACUAAAAUAGAGUUUGAAAGUUCAUCUACUCGAAGACAUUGUUCUAUCGAAACGGCCUUCAUUUCGAUUUUUUUAACAUACCUCGUCCAAACAACCAAUCCAUCGUCGCAAAAGACGCAGGCAUUAAAAUCAUAAAUAAAUGAAGUAGCUGGAAUAACUGACCCUUUAAAUUUUAUAUGCCUUGGAAUGUCCACCGCAACACCCUGGUUUCCACACAGUGCACUAAGUACUUGAUAACUUUCCUCGCGGGCUUUUUCUUGGUCUAUAUAAGAACAUAACUCUCGAAAAUCGUCAAGUGUUUUGACCGCCAUCCGAAAAUCUCCAUUCAAAAAUGGAUAUUUCCGUAACAUUUUACAAACACGUGCUAAAUGUAUAGGAUAUCUCAACAAGUGUUGCAAUGGAAUUAAAAGCUGACUGUUGCACGAAGAAGGAUCAGAAAUUAUUUUUUCAAUGGCAGAUAUUCCACUUAAAUUGAUGGUAUACAUGUGGUAAACAUCACGAAAAGCGGGUAAAGAUUGCGACAAUGAAUAUACUGGAGAGCCACUGGAAAUCAUUUGUUGAUAUAACUUCGUGUGUAACUGAUUUAAAGUCUUAAAGCACGUGCAAAUUCCAAUCGCCUCCCUUUCCAUACUUUGGCCUU